rnacentral:rRNA from 1 species
UAUUCUAAGGCGCUUGAGAGAACUCAGGAGAAGGAACUCGGCAAAUUGACACCGUAACUUCGGAAGAAGGUGUGCCUUUAGUAGGUGAACCAUUUACUUGGGGAGCCCAAUGAGGCUGCAAAAAAUCGGUGGCCGCAACUGUUUAUUAAAAACACAGCACUCUGCUAAGACGAAAGUCGACGUAUAGGGUGUGACGCCUGCCCGGUGCUGGAAGAUUAAAUGAUGGGGUGCAAGCUCUUGAUUGAAGUCCCAGUAAACGGCGGCCGUAACAAUAACGGUCCUAAGGUAGCGAAAUUCCUUGUCGGGUAAGUUCCGACCUGCACGAAUGGCGUAAUGAUGGCCACACUGUCUCCUCCUGAGACUCAACGAAGUUGAAAUGUUCGUGAUGAUGCAAUCUCCCCGCGGAAAGACGGAAAGACACCAUGAACCUUUACUGUAGCUUUGUAUUGGACUUUGAACAGAUCUGUGUAGGAUAGGUGGGAGGCUUUGAAGUGUGGUCGCUAGAUCGCAUGGAGCCAACGUUGAAAUACCACCCUGGUGUGUUUGAGGUUCUAACCUAGGUCCAUUAUCUGGAUCGGGGACAGUGCAUGGUAGGCAGUUUGACUGGGGCGGUCUCCUCCCAAAGUGUAACGGAGGAGUUCGAAGGUACGCUAGGUACGGUCGGACAUCGUGCUAAUAGUGCAAUGGCAUAAGCGUGCUUAACUGCGAGACUGACAAGUCGAGCAGAUGCGAAAGCAGGACAUAGUGAUCCGGUGGUUCUGUAUGGAAGGGCCAUCGCUCAACGGAUAAAAGGUACUCUGGGGAUAACAGGCUGAUACCGCCCAAGAGUUCAUAUCGACGGCGGUGUUUGGCACCUCGAUGUCGGCUCAUCUCAUCCUGGGGCUGUAGCCGGUCCCAAGGGUAUGGCUGUUCGCCAUUUAAAGAGGUACGUGAGCUGGGUUUAAAACGUCGUGAGACAGUUUGGUCCCUAUCUUCCGUGGGCGCUGCAGAUUUGAGGAAGCCUGCUCCUAGUACGAGAGGACCGGAGUGGACGAACCUCUGGUGUAUCGGUUGUCACGCCAGUGGCAUUGCCGAGUAGCUAAGUUCGGAAGAGAUAACCGCUGAAAGCAUCUAAGCGGGAAACUCGUUUCAAGAUUAGAUCUGCCGGGGCCUUGAGCCCCCUAAAGAGUCGUUCAAGACCAGGACGUUGAUAGGUCAGGUGUGGAAGC